AUGCCCAAGUGGGGUGCGCGGCGGAGGCCCGGCCUCCUGCUCGGCGCGCUGCUGCUGAUCGUGUGCCUCCCGGUGCUCCGCAGGCUGGACUGGAGUGGCCUCGGCGCUUCGUUGUGGCGGCGCCGGCACCUGGGGCUGCAGGCCGACGGCCAGAACUUCAAGCUGGAGAACUCGGCCUUCUGGAUCUUCGGGGGCUCCGUCCACUACUUCCGGGUGCCCCGGGCCUACUGGAGGGACCGGCUCCUGAAGCUGCGGGCCUGCGGCCUCAACACGCUAACCACCUACGUCCCGUGGAACCUCCACGAGCCGGAGAGAGGCACGUUCGACUUCUCCGGGAACCUGGACCUGGAGGCCUUCAUUCUGCUGGCGGCAGAGGUGGGGCUGUGGGUGAUCCUGCGUCCAGGCCCUUACAUCUGCGGCGAGAUGGACCUCGGGGGCCUGCCCAGCUGGUUACUCCGAGACCCUGACAUGAGGCUGAGAACAACUUACAAGGGCUUCACGGAAGCAGUGGACCUUUAUUUUGACCACCUGAUGCUCAGGGUGGUGCCGCUCCAGUACAAGCAUGGGGGACCCAUCAUUGCUGUGCAGGUGGAGAAUGAGUAUGGGUCCUACAACAAAGACCCCGCCUACAUGCCUUACAUCAAGAAGGCCCUGCAGGACCGGGGGAUCGCGGAGCUGCUCCUGACCUCAGACAACCAGGGCGGCCUGAAGAGCGGCGUUCUUGACGGAGUGCUGGCCACCAUCAACCUCCAGUCACAGUCGGAGCUGCAGCUGCUCACCACCAUCCUGCUGGGCACACAGGGCAGUCGGCCCAAGAUGGUGAUGGAGUACUGGACGGGCUGGUUUGACUCGUGGGGCGGCCCCCACUACAUCCUGGACUCCUCAGAGGUCUUGAACACGGUGUCGGCCAUCGUCGAAGCUGGCUCGUCCAUCAACCUGUACAUGUUCCACGGGGGCACCAACUUCGGCUUCAUCGGAGGAGCCAUGCACUUCCAGGACUACAAGCCUGAUGUCACCAGCUACGACUACGAUGCGGUGCUGACGGAGGCCGGGGACUACACGGCCAAGUACACAAAGCUCCGGGAACUCUUUGGCUCCGUGGCAGGGGCCCCUCUUCCCAUCCCGCCUGACCUUGUUCCCAAGACGGCGUAUGACCCAGUGACACCAGCUUUCUACGUGUCCCUGUGGGAUGCCCUGAACUUCUUGGAGCUGCCGGUCACCUCGGAGCUCCCGGUCAACAUGGAGAACCUCCCGAUCAAUGGAGGCAGCGGGCAGUCCUUUGGGUACACGCUGUAUGAGACCACCAUCACCACGUCCGGCAUCCUCACUGCCCUUGUGCGUGACCGGGGACAGGUGUUCCUGGACACGUACUUCCUGGGGACGCUCGACUACAAGAAGAAUACGAUCGUCAUCCCCAUGGUCCAGGGGUUCACGGCGCUGAGGAUCCUGGCGGAGAACUGCGGGAGAGUUAACUACGGGGACGGCAUUGACCAGCAGCGCAAAGGUAUCAUUGGGAACGUCUAUCUGAACGACUCUCCCCUGAAAAAGUUCAGAAUCUACAGCCUGGAGAUGGACAGGAGCUUCCUGCAGAGGUUCACUGCAGACAAGUGGAAACCUCUGACGGAAGAGCCCGUGUUCCCUGCAUUCUUCCUGGGAGCCCUGUCUGUCUCGGACUCCCCCUGCGACACCUUUGUGAAGCUGGAGGGCUGGGAAAAGGGGGUCGUGUUCAUCAACAACCAGAACCUCGGCCGCUACUGGAACAUCGGGCCCCAGGAGACCCUCUACCUCCCAGGCGUCUGGCUGGACGUAGGCUUAAAUAAGAUCGUCGUCUUUGAGGAGAAGAUGGCGCAACGGAUAAUCCAGUUUGUGGACACGCCCAACCUGGGCCAGCACGAGUACGUGCACUGAGCCGCCCCGGCCCGCGGCCCCGCUGACCGCUGACUGCUGACCGCUGACCGGCCUGUGCCCACUCCGUCUGCCCUCGGGAGUCUGCCUGCGGCUGCAGUUGACCCUCGCCCUGCAGGACCGGAGGCGCGAGGAGGGGGCGAGGGGCUCUGCUCCCCGGAGCGCCUCCCCGCUCCCCUAGGCCAGAUGGGGACUGUUCACCGUGGGGGCCGGUGGGGCCCGGCUCCUGAGUGUUUGCUCCUCGUCUCUGUGGCCCCGGCUCUGAGCUGGGAGGCGCGUCACUGUCC
rnacentral:lncRNA from 1 species